rnacentral:rRNA from 1 species
UACGUAGGGUGCAAGCGUUGUCCGGAAUUAUUGGGCGUAAAGAGCUCGUAGGCGGUUUGUCGCGUCUGCUGUGAAAACCCGAGGCUCAAACCUCGGGCCUGCAGUGGGUACGGGCAGACUAGAGUGCGGUAGGGAGAUUGGAAUUCCUGGUGUAGCGGUGGAAUGCGCAGAUAUCAGGAGGAACACCAAUGGCGAAGGCAGAUCUCUGGGCCGUAACUGACGCUGGAGGAGCGGAAAGCAUGGGAGCGAACAGG